UACGGAGGAUGCGAGCGUUAUCCGGAUUUAUUGGGUUUAAAGGGUGCGCAGGCGGAUUUUUAAGUCAGCGGUCAAAUCGUGGGGCUCAACCCCAUCCAGCCGUUGAAACUGACGCCCUUGAGUGAGUGAGAAGUAAGCGGAAUGCGUGGUGUAGCGGUGAAAUGCAUAGAUAUCGCGCAGAACUCCGAUUGCGAAGGCAGCAUGCCGGCUCCACACUGACGCUGAGGCACGAAAGCGUGGGUAUCGAACAGG
rnacentral:rRNA from 1 species